rnacentral:rRNA from 1 species
UUAAGUGAAUAAGGGCGCACGGUGGAUGCCUUGGCACUAGGAGCCGAUGAAGGACGGGACUAACACCGAUAUGCUUUGGGGAGCUGUACGUAAGCUAUGAUCCAGAGAUUUCCGAAUGGGGGAACCCAGCAUCUUUAAUAGGAUGUUACGAUUGUGUGAAUACAUAGCACAUUCGAGGUAGACGCAGAGAACUGAAACAUCUAAGUACCUGCAGGAAGAGAAAGAAAAUUCGAUUCCCUGAGUAGCGGCGAGCGAAACGGGAAAAGCCCAAACCAGCAAGCUUGCUUGUUGGGGUUGUAGGACUCCAAUAUGGUAGUUCUUUCAGAUAGUCGAAUGACUUGGAAAAGUCAGUCAAAGAGGGUAAAAACCCCGUAGACGAAAUGUGGAAGACACCUAGGAGGAUCCUGAGUACGGCGGAACACGAGAAAUUCCGUCGGAAUCCGGGAGGACCAUCUCCCAAGGCUAAAUACUCCCUAGUGACCGAUAGUGAACCAGUACCGUGAGGGAAAGGUGAAAAGCACCCCGGGAGGGGAGUGAAAUAGAACCUGAAACCGUGUGCCUACAACAAGUUCGAGCCCGUUAAUGGGUGAGAGCGUGCCUUUUGUAGAAUGAACCGGCGAGUUACGAUAUGAUGCGAGGUUAAGUUGAAGAGACGGAGCCGUAGGGAAACCGAGUCUUAAUAGGGCGCAUUAGUAUCAUGUCGUAGACCCGAAACCAUGUGACCUACCCAUGAGCAGGUUGAAGGUGAGGUAAAACUCACUGGAGGACCGAACCAGGGCACGUUGAAAAGUGCUUGGAUGACUUGUGGGUAGCGGAGAAAUUCCAAACGAACUUGGAGAUAGCUGGUUCUCUCCGAAAUAGCUUUAGGGCUAGCGUCGAUGUUAAGUCUCUUGGAGGUAGAGCACUGUUUGGGUGAGGGGUCCAUCCCGGAUUACCAAUCUCAGAUAAACUCCGAAUGCCAAUGAGAUAUAAUCGGCAGUCAGACUGCGAGUGCUAAGAUCCGUAGUCGAAAGGGAAACAGCCCAGACCACCAGCUAAGGUCCCAAAAUAUAUGUUAAGUGGAAAAGGAUGUGGGGUUGCACAGACAACUAGGAUGUUAGCUUAGAAGCAGCUAUUCAUUCAAAGAGUGCGUAAUAGCUCACUAGUCGAGUGACCCUGCGCCGAAAAUGUACCGGGGCUAAAACAUAUUACCGAAGCUGUGGAUACCUUUAUAGGUAUGGUAGGAGAGCGUUCUAUGUGCGAAGAAGGUGUACCGUGAGGAGUGCUGGAGCGCAUAGAAGUGAGAAUGCCGGUAUGAGUAGCGAAAGACAGGUGAGAAUCCUGUCCACCGUAAGACUAAGGUUUCCAGGGGAAGGCUCGUCCGCCCUGGGUUAGUCGGGACCUAAGGAGAGACCGAAAGGUGUAUCCGAUGGACAACAGGUUGAUAUUCCUGUACUAGAGUAUAUAGUGAUGGAGGGACGCAGUAGGCUAACUAAACCAGACGAUUGGAAGUGUCUGGCCAAGCAGUGAGGUGUGAUAUGAGUCAAAUGCUUAUAUCUUUAACAUUGAGCUGUGAUGGGGAGCGAAGUUUAGUAGCGAAGUUAGUGAUGUCACACUGCCGAGAAAAGCUUCUAGCGUUAAUUAUACUCUACCCGUACCGCAAACCGACACAGGUAGUCGAGGCGAGUAGCCUCAGGUGAGCGAGAGAACUCUCGUUAAGGAACUCGGCAAAAUGGCCCCGUAACUUCGGGAGAAGGGGCGCUGACUGAUGGUCAGCCGCAGUGAAUAGGCCCAAGCAACUGUUUAUCAAAAACACAGCUCUCUGCUAAAUCGUAAGAUGAUGUAUAGGGGGUGACGCCUGCCCGGUGCUGGAAGGUUAAGAGGAGUGCUUAGCGUAAGCGAAGGCAUGAAUUGAAGCCCCAGUAAACGGCGGCCGUAACUAUAACGGUCCUAAGGUAGCGAAAUUCCUUGUCGGGUAAGUUCCGACCCGCACGAAAGGCGUAAUGAUUUGGGCACUGUCUCAACGAGAGACUCGGUGAAAUUUUAGUACCUGUGAAGAUGCAGGUUACCCGCGACAGGACGGAAAGACCCCAUGGAGCUUUACUGCAGUUUGAUAUUGAGUAUCUGUACCACAUGUACAGGAUAGGUAGGAGCCUAUGACCUCGGGACGCCAGUUUCGAGUGAGGCGUUGUUGGGAUACUACCCUUGUGUUAUGGCUACUCUAACCCAGAUAGGUUAUCCCUAUCGGAGACAGUGUCUGACGGGCAGUUUGACUGGGGCGGUCGCCUCCUAAAAGGUAACGGAGGCGCCCAAAGGUUCCCUCAGAAUGGUUGGAAAUCAUUCGCAGAGUGUAAAGGUAUAAGGGAGCUUGACUGCGAGAGCUACAACUCGAGCAGGGACGAAAGUCGGGCUUAGUGAUCCGGUGGUUCCGCAUGGAAGGGCCAUCGCUCAACGGAUAAAAGCUACCCUGGGGAUAACAGGCUUAUCUCCCCCAAGAGUUCACAUCGACGGGGAGGUUUGGCACCUCGAUGUCGGCUCGUCGCAUCCUGGGGCUGUAGUAGGUCCCAAGGGUUGGGCUGUUCGCCCAUUAAAGCGGCACGCGAGCUGGGUUCAGAACGUCGUGAGACAGUUCGGUCCCUAUCCGUCGCGGGCGUAGGAAAUUUGAGAGGAUCUGCUCCUAGUACGAGAGGACCAGAGUGGACUUACCGCUGGUGUACCAGUUGUUCUGCCAAGAGCAUCGCUGGGUAGCUAUGUAGGGAAGGGAUAAACGCUGAAAGCAUCUAAGUGUGAAGCCCACCUCAAGAUGAGAUUUCCCAUGAUUUUAUAUCAGUAAGAGCCCUGAGAGAUGAUCAGGUUGAUAGGUUAGAAGUGGAAGUGUGGUGACACAUGUAGCGGACUAAUACUAAUAGCUCGAGGACUUAUCCAA